rnacentral:lncRNA from 1 species
AUGGGUGCUUGGGGAGGUGACCCCUCCCUGAAAGGGAGAUUUUACUCAAAGGAAACCCCCCAAAAAAUGUCAAUUGGAGCAAACACAAUUCCAGCUGAUGAAGUUCCAUCCCUGGCCAGCAGCUGGGAGCCUCAGAUGAAGGGCCGUGUCUGGGGGGAGCCAGAACCGAGCAGAUCCUUUUCCAUUUCCACUCCUUUCCAGGGAGAGUUUUGCAGCCAGCCUGGGACAGGAUGGGGAGAAAGAAGGAUGCUCUCUCCAGGGGCUGUGUCCAGAGCCCAGGACAAUCCCAUAAGAGCAAGGAAAGGGAAAAAAAAAAAAUCUUCAUUUUCAGCUGAUUCCAGCUGUUCUGGUUCCAGUUCAGUUCUGCUGCUCUCAGACAAUCAAGGUGGGCUCUCCCAAACCAAGACAAGCACUCAGGUGAGUCAAAUGUUGAUCUCUGCUCCCAGCUCAUGGAAUGCUUCUCCUGCCUGGGCUGGCCUGGACAGGGAACCUCUGGCUGAGCACGAGGAAUUCCCUCUCCUGUGCUUUUGUCCUGGGUAA